GUCCCAUAGCGCGGCGCACAAUUGGUCCAGCGUCAUCCGGGCCGUCAUUGUAAAUAAGAGCCGCCUUGCCUAGGUAAAUAAAGGUUACACACUGACCAAAAGGUUAUUUUGUUGGCAUUUACGUAAGUCCCCAUUACCAGUAAAACAUCAUCAAAACCUAUUUCUUUUCACUUAGCUUGCUGUGCUGUCAACCAGGAUUUCUAUGGAACGACUUUUGCGUGUCAAAAAAGAUACACGUCAAAUAUUUGACCAAUCAGGGACCUGAAUAUGACUCCACGUCACAAUAAUAAUUUAACUCGUCCAUUUAUUUUUUUUAUGUAGUUAUUACACAUUGAUUACACUAUCACUCGUAUUUCAUAUGUCACACCGAUUCAUCGAUACGUACGCUAUGAUGCUAAGUUGUCUCGCGCACCAACAGUGCUGGUCAUAACAAAAGCUAGCUAGCUCAUGGAUGCAACGACUCCUCGUGUUGCCGAUUACCAGCAACUUCAGGAGAGUAAUGGCAGAAUCUGCGAAAAGCCAGCAGGAGUGGGAGGAGAAUAGUUGGGUCUGGAUCUCUGGCGCCCUCUUGAGGCAUCAAACCGUAAGCUGAAAGCAUCAGACACGCUCAGUGCAUAUAGUUGAUUUUAUUAAAACACACAGGGUGUUUCUAGAUAUGGAAAAAUACAACACAGGGUGUUUCUAGAUAUGGAAAAAUACAAGUGUAAAAAUUCUGUCAACCAAAAUUGUUCUUAGUUGGGGAAAAGCCCUAGUAUUGAUUUAUUUUGUGUUGUUCCUCAUCAACCUUGAGAAAGAAAGAUGCUCUGUAGAGGCUCAAUUACGCCAAGAUUAUUCAGAUCCCCUUUGCUUUUGUUAUGAAGGAAUAAGAGCUAAAUACAAAAGCCAAAACAAGGAUCCUAGCUGUUUAGACAGAGGGUCAUGCAGUAGUAUCCAGACAAGGAUCCUAGCUGUUUAGACAGAGGGUCAUGAAGUAGUAUCCAGACAAGGAUCCUAGCUGUUUAGACAGAGGGUCAUGAAGGAGUAUCCAGACAAGGAUCCUAGCUGUUUAGACAGAGGGUCAUGAAGUAGUAUCCAGACAAGGAUCCUAGCUGUUCAGACAGAGGGUCAUGAAGUAGUAUCCAGACAAGGAUCCUAGCUGUUUAGACAGAGGGUCAUGAAGUAGUAUCCAGACAAGGAUCCUAGCUGUUCAGACAGAGGGUCAUGAAGUAGUAUCCAGACAAGGAUCCUAGCUGUUUAGACAGAGGGUCAUGAAGUAGUAUCCAGACAAGGAUCCUAGCUGUUUAGACAGAGGGUGAGGCCCCACACAUAGAAAUACAAUUACCAAUAACAGCAUUCCCAUUCAAGUCCGCUGUGUUAUCCGAUGUGUGGACCCAAGCGGCUAGGUUGAAGAUACCCAGUGUUAGGUCAAGUUAUGAAGAAGAAACAGAAUCGUGGAACCAACGCCGUUGGCUAACUGGCAUCUCAGACCCCUUAGUUUAGAAUUCAACUUAGCCGAGCAGCAGACAUAUUGACUUCACCCGUAAGUGUUGCCACCAUUGGUCCGGGUUGCUUUAUUCUAUUAAUUGUAUUUCUAUGGCUACACACUGGCGAACUGGCUUUAUCCUGUCUAGUGACUCUAUUUCUAUGGCCACACACUGGCUGCCUGGGAGAGACGGAGGGAAGCAUAGCAGCUUAGACAGACUCAGAGAGAGAGAGAGAGAGAGAGAGAGAGAGAGAGAGAGAGAGAGAGAGAGAGAGAGAGAGAGAGAGAGAGAGAGAGAGAGAGAGAGAGAGAGAGAGAGAGAGAGAGAGAGAGAGAGAGAGAGAGAGAGAGAGAGAGAGAGAGAGAGAGAGAGAGAGAAAGAGAGAGAGAGAGGUCUUACUUAUAGAAAUAUAAUUACCAGAAUGAACAUUCCCAUUCAAGUCAAUGUUCUGUGAUGAGUGAACUGGCUUUAUCCUGUCUAGUGACUCUAUUUCUAUGGCCACACACUGGCUGCCUGGGAGAGACAGAGAGAGACAGAAAGAGGCUCUUAAACGGCCCCUCACACACAGGGCCCCAGGGGUAGAACCUGGAGAAAGACGUCCAGCCGGGCCGUUGCCAAGCGACAGAGAGGGGGAGUUAAUCACAUGACAGGGCCAGGACGGUGGCAACGUGUCGGCGAGGCAACGGGUCGGCUAUCUGACACCAGACACAGACAAGCCAGUGUCUACUGUGAUUCGCUGAGAGGGAGGGAGAUGGGAGGGAGGGGGCAGGAGGGAGAAGUUUUUGGAACGCAUCACCGCCCUUCUUCUCCACCUCCUCCUCCUCAGACUCUAACACAGAACAAAUCAACAGAGGAAUGCCAGAUUAGUGAAGAGGAAAAUGAGAGGGGGGAGACAAAGAGAGAGGACGGGUUAGGAAAGGGAGAGGAGAGAGAGCGAGAGGAGAGAGAGUGAGAGGAGAGGAGAGAGAGUGAGAGGAGAGAGCGAUCGAGAGGAGAGAGCGAUCGAGAGGAGAGAGUGAGAGGAGAGAGAGCGAGAGGAGAGAAAGGGAGAGGAGAGAGAGCGAGAGGAGAGAAAGGGAGAGGAGAGAGAGCGAGAGGAGAGAGAGCGAGAGGAGAGAGAGCGAGAGGAGAGAGAGCGAGAGGAGAGAUAGUGAGAGGAGAGAGAGAGAGGGAGAGAGAGGAGAGAGAGAGAGCGAGAGGAGAGAGAGAGAGAGAGAGAGUGAGAGGAGAGAGAGCGAGGAGAGAAGGGGAUUAGUCAUGUGAAGUGAAGAGGCUUUAAUUGAAUCCAGUGUUCUCUGCAUAGUGUAGUUUUAACUAUAAUUUAUUUUACUCCGUCUGCCAGGCUUCCUGGUCUCCAUCCAACCCUUAAGGAGGCUCAAUGAUUUCACUACACAGAUCAGACACACACACACACACACACACACACACACACACACACACACACACACACACACACACACACACACACACACACACACACACACACACACACACACACACACACACACACACACACAAAGAGGCUCGGUGACUACACCACACAGAUCUGAGACAGAGCAGAGAGCCCAUUUCAAACCCCUUCACUCUAUCACUAAAUAUGUCAGCAUCACAAAAAAUGGGACCUCGUUCCCUACAUAGUGCACUACUUUUGACAAGAGCCCUAUGUGUCCUGGUCCAAUGUAGUGCACUACAUAAGAAAUAGGGUGUUAUUUGGAACACUGGUGCAACCUAGAACACAGAACUGCUGCUGUUUGUUCUUCUGUGUUGACGAUAGGGACCGAGUGGUAGAACGGUCUAGAUGCGUCACUACAGACCCGGGUUCGAUCCCGGGCUGUAUCACAACCGUCUGUGAUCAGGAGUCCCAUAGGGCGGCGCACAAUUGGCCCAUCAACGCCCGGGUUAUGGUACGGUUUGUCGGGGGUAGGCCGUCAACGUAAAAUAAAAAACUAUUCUUAACUGGCUGUUUCUAGAAUGUUUUGCAAAUGUAUUAAAAAUGACAAACAGAAAUACAUUAUGUACAUAGGUAUUCACCCUUUGCGAUGAGACUCGAAAUUGAGCUCAGGUGCAUCCUGUUUCCAUUGAUCAUCCUUGAGAUGUUUCUACACCGUGAUUGUUUGCUGUGAGACUCUAAAUUGAGCUCAGGUGCAUCCUGUUUCCAUUGAUCAUCCUUGAGAUGUUUCUACACCGUGAUUGUUUGCUGUGAGACUCUAAAUUGAGCUCAGGUGCAUCCUGUUUCCAUUGAUCAUCCUUGAGAUGUUUCUACACCGUGAUUGUUUGCUGUGAGACUCUAAAUUGAGCUCAGGUGCAUCCUGUUUCCAUUGAUCAUCCUUGAGAUGUUUCUACACCGUGAUUGUUUGCUGUGAGACUCUAAAUUGAGCUCAGGUGCAUCCUGUUUCCAUUGAUCAUCCUUGAGAUGUUUCUACACCGUGAUUGUUUGCUGUGAGACUCUAAAUUGAGCUCAGGUGCAUCCUGUUUCCAUUGAUCAUCCUUGAGAUGUUUCUACACCGUGAUUGUUUGCUGUGAGACUCUAAAUUGAGCUCAGGUGCAUCCUGUUUCCAUUGAUCAUCCUUGAGAUGUUUCUACACCGUGAUUGUUUGCUGUGAGACUCUAAAUUGAGCUCAGGUGCAUCCUGUUUCCAUUGAUCAUCCUUGAGAUGUUUCUACACCGUGAUUGUUUGCUGUGAGACUCUAAAUUGAGCUCAGGUGCAUCCUGUUUCCAUUGAUCAUCCUUGAGAUGUUUCUACACCGUGAUUGUUUGCUGUGAGACUCUAAAUUGAGCUCAGGUGCAUCCUGUUUCCAUUGAUCAUCCUUGAGAUGUUUCUACACCGUGAUUGUUUACUGUGAGACUCUAAAUUGAGCUCAGGUGCAUCCUGUUUCCAUUGAUCAUCCUUGAGAUGUUUCUACACGGUGAUUGUUUGCUGUGAGACUCUAAAUUGAGCUCAGGUGCAUCCUGUUUCCAUUGAUCAUCCUUGAGAUGUUUCUACACCGUGAUUGUUUGCUGUGAGACUCUAAAUUGAGCUCAGGUGCAUCCUGUUUCCAUUGAUCAUCCUUGAGAUGUUUCUACACCGUGAUUGUUUGCUGUGAGACUCUAAAUUGAGCUCAGGUGCAUCCUGUUUCCAUUGAUCAUCCUUGAGAUGUUUCUACACCGUGAUUGUUUGCUGUGAGACUCUAAAUUGAGCUCAGGUGCAUCCUGUUUCCAUUGAUCAUCCUUGAGAUGUUUCUACACCGUGAUUGUUUGCUGUGAGACUCUAAAUUGAGCUCAGGUGCAUCCUGUUUCCAUUGAUCAUCCUUGAGAUGUUUCUACACCGUGAUUGUUUGCUGUGAGACUCUAAAUUGAGCUCAGGUGCAUCCUGUUUCCAUUGAUCAUCCUUGAGAUGUUUCUACACCUUGAUUGGAGUCCACCUGGUGGUCAAUUCAAUGGAUUGGACCUGAUUUGAAAAGGCACACACCUGUCUAUAUAAGGUCCCAUAGUUGACAGUGCAUGUCAGAGUAAAAACCAAAGCUUGGUUGAAAUGUUGGUGACAUGGUUGAAAUAUUGGUGACAUGGUUGAAGUAUUGGUGA